UACAAACACAAGGGGUACCGCAUUUGCGGUUGAGAUUUACCCUCAGAACCUGAUGCGGUUAAUACCGCCGUAGGGAUGUGUCGAUUUGAUCAU
rfam:Lactococcus piscium MKFS47 genome assembly, chromosome: I